CAAAGACUCUUCUACCUCACGUAGAGAGCAACUACUUGAUUUCAUUUUUCUUUACCACGGAGUCUUACUUUUACAUGUCCUGCUUGCAAGGAUAGAGCAGCAGAGCCUUCUCACCGAUUUGCAAUCGGUGAACUGUGCCAUAUCACUAGGCAAGAAGUUGCAGGAAGCUAAUGUCACCCAAAAUGUGUACAAUCUUUGCAGUAUAAAACUCAUGGACUUCACUAUUUAAGUCCAAUCUAAUGGAGAGUACUUUGGUUGCCUUUUACCAAAGGUGCCUGUGGAUGCAACGUGUAACAAUCAAUCAGGGCUCGAUCGGUGUCACUUGUGAUCUUAAUGGCGAUGUUGAAGCUCCUUGGCCCUCUAACUCCUCUAUACCUUCUUCCAACUGCUAUAAGAUCGAUUAUGCCAAUAGACAUUAACUUCCCUUUGUCAAUCAUAUUGUCUUUUGACUCUGUUGCAAUAAGUUAUUUUCCUUUGUUUCUUUGUAUUUUCACUUCUAUGGCAUUUCAGGUAUCUAAACUUCAGCACUUCCCCUCAGCUACAUCUGCACAAGAUGGUCUUGAGACGAAACACUUACACCACUGAGUGCAUACUUGGCUUUUUGUUUCUCUAAUUUGGGUAAUAAUGGAUGCCAUGGCUUCCAUCAAUUCUUCUGGUCUGAUAGAAGAGUCCAUAUAAACAAUAAUUUAUCAAUUCCAUCAUCUGUAUUUAUCGUGUCUUCUUAUUCAUCCGCUACUCUUUCCAGUUUUCAAGGUUUCCAGUA